rnacentral:misc_RNA from 1 species
CAUCCAGUAGCCUAGCUACUUGUUUAUACCCUUGUUUUUUUGCGUACCUAUUGUUUCCUCGGUGGGCUUGCCUGCCGGUUGGACAAAACUAUAACCUUUUUAAAUCUUCAAUCAGCGUCUGAAUUAUACAUAAUAAUUA